UGGAAAGUAUGGUUUAGGUUC
rnacentral:siRNA from 1 species